GGAGAGGUGGCAGAGUGGCCUAUCGCGCUAGAUUGCUAAUUUAGUGUAUAACAAGAUAUUAUACCAAGGGUUCAAAUCCCUUUCUCUCCU
rnacentral:tRNA from 1 species